rnacentral:rRNA from 1 species
ACGAACGCUGGCGGCGUGCCUAAUACAUGCAAGUCGAGCGGACCGAACAGGAGCUUGCUCUUUUUCGUUUAGCGGCGGACGGGUGAGUAACACGUGGGUAACCUGCCCGUAAGACCGGGAUAACUCCGGGAAACCGGAGCUAAUACCGGAUAACACCUAAUACCGCAUGGUCUUUGGUUGAAAGGCGGCUUCGGCUGUCACUUACGGAUGGGCCCGCGGCGCAUUAGCUAGUUGGUGAGGUAACGGCUCACCAAGGCGACGAUGCGUAGCCGGCCUGAGAGGGUGACCGGCCAAACUGGGACUGAGACACGGCCCAGACUCCUACGGGAGGCAGCAGUAGGGAAUCUUCCGCAAUAGACGAAAGUCUGACGGAGCGACGCCGCGUGAGCGAAGAAGGUCUUCGGAUCGUAAAGCUCUGUUGUUAGGGAAGAAGAAGCGUCGUUCGAACAGGGCGGCGCGGUGACGGUACCUAACGAGAAAGCCCCGGCUAACUACGUG